GCAGCGAAGAUGGCGACUGCCAUGUACUUGGAGCACUAUCUGGACAGCAUUGAGAACCUUCCCUGUGAACUUCAGAGGAACUUCCAGCUGAUGCGAGAGCUAGACCAGAGAACGGAAGAUAAGAAGGCAGAGAUUGACAUCCUGGCUGCGGAGUAUAUUUCCACAGUGAAGACUCUCUCUUCAGACCAGCGUGUGGAGCACCUGCAGAAGAUCCAGAACGCCUACAGCAAGUGCAAGGAGUACAGUGACGACAAGGUGCAGCUAGCCAUGCAGACCUAUGAGAUGGUGGACAAACACAUCCGAAGGCUUGAUGCUGACCUGGCACGCUUUGAGGCUGACCUGAAGGACAGGAUGGACGGAAGCGACUUUGAAAGCACUGGAUCACGAAGCUUGAAAAAAGGUCGGAGUCAGAAAGAAAAGAGAAGCUCCCGGGGCCGAGGCAGGAGGACGUCAGAAGAGGACACACCUAAGAAAAAGAAGCAUAAAAGCGGGUCUGAGUUUACCGACAGCAUCCUAUCUGUGCACCCCUCUGACGUGCUGGACAUGCCUGUGGAUCCAAAUGAGCCUACGUACUGCCUGUGCCACCAGGUGUCCUACGGGGAGAUGAUCGGCUGUGACAAUCCAGAUUGUCCAAUUGAGUGGUUUCACUUUGCCUGUGUGGAUCUCACCACAAAGCCCAAAGGAAAGUGGUUCUGUCCCCGAUGUGUGCAGGAAAAGAGGAAGAAGAAGUAACGAAGAGGUUGUUGUGCCAGGCUGAAGAGCAAGCUAAUAUAUUUCUUCACUCAUGUUGCAAUAUUAUCUUUCAUUUAAAAACUACCUUAUUUCAACUGAUAUUUAAUAAUUCAGUGGCCAAUUGUAGUUUUGGAUAUUUCCCAAAAUAAGAAGCCACUGCACCAUUUGCACAGAACAAUCUCGCAGGGACUUGCCACAGUGACUUCCCGUGCAGGCUCCCCACUCCUGCGGCCUCCCAGCACUGGGAUGGCAGCACCCCUUGUGCCGAGGGUCCCUUGGGGCUGUAGGCAAAGUGCAUGGUGCAGGCUGGACAUGUUUUUCACCUGGUCUACUGCCACUGCUCUGUCACUAGAGGGUCGGCCUUGCGUGUCCGUGUAAUCCAGGACCGGCUUGUGGCACCAUGGAAGCUGCUGUUCUGUGAGCCAGGUCUUCCCAGACGCUGGCCAAUGCUGUGCUCUUACCCUGGCUGAAGACCAGGGACUCCUGGCCAACAUACCUCUGAUGUGUCUGGAAGGGACUGGGGGCUCUUCCCAGGUAGAAGUGCCCUCUGUUUCGUUGUGCACCGCCUUUCCAUGUGAACUUCCAGCUCGCCCUGGAGAUUCAGCUUCCAUUAGCCUCGAACUGUCAGUUAUCCGACCAGCACUGCCCAACAGCGGACAGAACAGUCAGGCUGAGCUUCCACCUCUCUGGGAAUUCCUAACUUUUUUUUUUACUGUGAAGAUGAAAUUAUUGUAAUAGCAUGAAGGUCUUGGGUCUGUGUGUCUAUGAAGUGAGUCUGUACUGUGAGCUGAUGUUAGAACUUUGCUGUGUUGCAUCCCACUGGACCACCGGCUUAUAUUCAAGGGGCUACAAUUAUGUGACAUGAUUUGUGAAUUUGUGUGCCCAGUAGCGGUUCUGGAAUGAAGAAGCAUGAUGAAUUAAUAGAGAACUGAGCCCCACAAUCUGUGAACAUGCUAGCAGUGUGAUGGUCCAAGCAGUGCUGACCACUCGCCUGUCCAGCAGGUGACGUCAGCAGGAGUCAGGCCAUCGACUGUGUCUUCCACUCUGCCGUGAAGAGCCGAAGAGCCGUGCGGUGGGAGGGCUUGUGGAUGUCUGGGGAAGUGGCCGCCUGCUUGCUCCUGUGGAUACAGCAUCUUGCCUUCUAUCCCUCACCUGCCUCCAGAAGGCCUUGGCAGGGCUGCUUCAAGCAAUAACACUGUUCGGAGAGCAACUCCUCCACGUGAUAUGGUGCCAGGGUUGGCCCUGUUAGGAGGCUGGGAGGUCAGGUCUUCAGGGUGUGAAAUCAAACAGUGAGGGACAUUUAUUUCAGGCUUUGAACCCUGUUUUCUGUGAGCAGAGAUUGGUCUUCACUGCCUGUGCCGAGAGGAGCUCUAAAGCAGGGGAGGUCUAAGAAGUGUCUUUUCCCUCAGAGUGUGCUGUGGUGGUCCUUCUUCACCACACUCCAUCCAUCGGAUGAUGCAGCUUUAACAUGAAUGUCACAUUUUAUUUUCAAGGAAUUAUUACCUUUGUCCCCUUUGUAAAGGAGAGAUAUUAUUGUAAAUCUUUUUAUUAAAUAAUGUAAAGAUGUAUAUCUGUAUUUUUGGAUCAUGGAUUAUGGAUAUAUUGUUUAAUAAAUAAAGUAUUUUU